UAGGGUGCAAGCGUUGUCCGGAAUUAUUGGGCGUAAAGAGCUCGUAGGCGGUUUGGCACGUCGGCUGUGAAAUCCCGAGGCUCAACCUCGGGUCUGCAGUCGAUACGGGCGGACUUGAGUGCUGCAGGGGAGACUGGAAUUCCUGGUGUAGCGGUGAAAUGCGCAGAUAUCAGGAGGAACACCGGUGGCGAAGGCGGGUCUCUGGGCAGUAACUGACGCUGAGGAGCGAAAGCGUGGGGAGCGAACAGG
rnacentral:rRNA from 1 species